rnacentral:lncRNA from 1 species
AGUAUUAUAACUUCUGUUCCAUAAGCUAAAUUGAAGGGGGAUUCUCCUGUCGGUAUGCGGAGAGUUGUCCGAUACACCCAUAAAAUCGAAAAUAGUUCUUCCAUCCAUAGGCCUUUGGCUUCAUUCAGUCGGGUCUUCAGCCUGUGCAGAAUUAUUCGGUUGGUUACUUUCACUUCACCAUUUGACUAUGGAUGGCCGACCGAAGUGAGUUUGUGCGUGAUAUGAAAUUUCACAUAAAACUCUCUAAAAUUUUGAUUG